rnacentral:rRNA from 1 species
AUGUGUAUUCCAAAAAAGAAAGGUGGUAAGGGAUUCAGAGAUAUCCACUGCUUUAACCUUGCAUUGUUGGCCAAGCAGGCAUGGCGUCUUAUUGAUAACCCUGACUCUCUAUGUGCACUGAUUCUAAAAGCUAAAUACUUCCCAAAUGGAGACCUUAUUAAUGCAGUUUGAAAAAAGAAAGUGUCCAACACUUGGCAAAGUGUCAUUGCAAGAGUGGAAACACUAAAUCAUGAACAUAUUUGGAGGGUUGGAGAUGGAGCUCAAGUCAAGAUUUGGGGGAUUCUCGGAUUCCGCAGUCCGGACACGUGUCAAUGA